rnacentral:lncRNA from 1 species
UUGGAUUAUGAAAGUGUUUUAUGGAUUGUCUUGCAUAUUUAUAUUAUUUUGAUUAUUUUGAUUAUUGAGACUAUGAAUAUUUUGGGUUGUGGAAUUUAUGCUUUUGGGAGUUUGAUAUCUAUGCUAUGAAUAAAUAUUUGGGUAUAUUGGAAUAUUGAGAAUUUGGAAAGAAAAAAAAAUUGAUUUAAGGGAGGGUAUAUUAUUUUAUAUAUAUAGGUUUGUGAAAUGCACCAUCAUAUGUACUUCCCCGGCUCUUGGAUACUGAAAACAGUGGUUAUUUGGAAACAUUGGUCACUUGGUUACUUUGGAAUCCUGGCACCUUUGAUCGGGUGUGCAGUAGACCUUGACAAGCAGUCUGCACGCGUAGGACUUUUCACAGACGCACCAAUAUUAAGGAUUCUGCUAUGUGGUUUGGUGAGCCCAGUCCCCUAGUUGGACGGCUCGUUCCUUAGCCACAUGGUUAUUGAUGAUUCUUCCAUGCAGUCUAGUCAAACAAUCCCCAUGUUGGAUUGUUUUCCCUUGGUACAUGAUGUGUACUAUCAUAUGUACCUCCCCUUAGAUACUGAUACUUGAAAACAGUGGAUAUGAAUACUUGGAUAUGUCGGAACCUGGGCACCCUUGGCGGGGUGUUUCGUAGGCCCUUGGUCGGGCAGUCUGCGUGCAUAGGAAUUUUCACAGACGCACGAGUAUUGAGGAUUCUGUUGUGUGGUCUUGUGAGCCCAGUCUCCCGGUUGGACAGCUCGUUCCCUAGCCACAUGGUUAUUGAGGAUUCUCCCAUGUGAUCUAGUCAAACAAUCCCCGUGUUGGAUUAUUUUCCCCCGGUACAUGAUGUGUACUAUCAUAUGUACCUCCCCUUAGAUACUAAUAAUUGGAAACAGUGGAUAUGGAUACUUAGAUAUGUCAAAACCCGG